AUGGCCAAGCGAAAGCGUUCCGACGAUGUGGACCGGCUGAGCGAGCUGCCGGAGUGCCUCCUCCAGGACAUCAUGUCGCGCCUGAAGGCCCGCCAGCUCGUGCAGACCUGCGCGCUGUCGUCGACAUGGCGCCGCCUCUGGCUCACCGCGCCGUGCCUCGACAUCGACGCAGGCGAGGACGACGAUGAGGAGGAGGAUGAGGAGCUCGACAAAUUUGACGAUUUCGUCGACAGUCUCUUGCUCCGUCGCGGCGCGUGUGCCUCGCCGCUGGGCACCCUGCGGUUGAGCUUGCCCUCUUCCUGGCCCAUAUGGAUGCGCCUCCUCCACGACCGUUCCUACUGCAGGUCGCACACCAGGUGGAUUCGACGUGGCCUCCGGUGCUCCCCGGCGACCCUCGACGUCUCCGGCAUCAAGCUGCCUCCUCUGGCGUCUGGUCCUGGCACCCACCGCCUCAACAAGCUGCGCCUCCAUAACGUAUGUCUCCACAAGGAUUUUGAGAAGCACCUCAGCGCCGGGCUCCCCGUCCUACAAGACCUCGAGAUCAGAGGCACGGAGAUGUCCAAAAUCUCAAGAAUCGCGUCCGAGACGCUCAAGAACCUCAUUGUUGAUGAAGGAACAAGGUUACACUUCCUCGUCGACGCCCCUCGUCUCGCCUCACUACACCUCGUCGUUCAGUUUCGCCGCCUUGGCGUUUUCGCUGUCACCGUGUGUGAGGCGGCUUCUCCUGUCGAAGCAUCCAUCCACUUCCUGGACAAGCCUAAAGUUCGGCAGGUACAUGGAAGUUGCUACUAUCAUCAAGAUGACAAAGAUUUGCUAAUAGCUUUAUGCAAACUUCUCCGAUCUCUAUCCAACGUCAGUCACUUGGAGCUGUCAGGCUUUGGAGUAGCAGAGCAACAUAUUCCAGAUCUUCCAUCACCGGGUACUCGAUUUCCAGCGGGGUUUUAUCGAACUACGGUGCGGACAAGUGAUGAUGAUUUGCUCCCCCGUCCUAUGUUGCAGGCAAUACUUGAUGAGAAGCAAAACAAAUUACCACAACUCGCCAACCUAAAAACCUUGGUCCUUGACAAGUGUGAGAUAGGUGACAACAUUCAGACGUUGUGGUCCUUCUUGCAUAAUACGCCUACCCUUGGGAAGCUUACUCUCAACAAUUGUGGGUGCCAAGAGUUUCAAUAUGGUGCUGCUGCUUCGAACAUUUUUAAGAUGGGUUGCACAAUCUCCAGCCUUAAGUUGGUAGAAAUCAAGCACAACGCAAGAGAUGACCAUGAAGUCCAAUAUACUGCACAAAUGGAGAAGAUCCUGUCCAUGGUACAAAGGGACUUACCGGUGGCUACGAAGAUCCAUGUUACCAAGGUCAAAAAUUAA
rnacentral:rRNA from 1 species